CGUCCGACAAACCUGGAUUUCCGUGUCCAAUGUUGACCAUUCAUCUUAUUUAAAAAAAAUUAAAAAAACAAGUCACGCAUAAAGUAUUAAUCAUGUUUUAUCAUCUAACAACAAUAAAAAUACUAAUUAUAAAUAAUUUCAUAUAAGACGGACAGUUAAACGUUAGAUACGGAAACUCAAGAUUUGUUUUUUU
rfam:Oryza rufipogon genomic scaffold, chr10